AUUGAACGCUGGCGGCAUGCCUUACACAUGCAAGUCGAACGGUAACAGGUUAAGCUGUCGUGUGGCGCUCGGGAGUGUCAUAUAUCGGAACGUGCCCAGGCGAGGUGCAUAACUGCUCGAAAGAGCAGCUAAUACCGCAUACGACCACAGCAUGAUAGCGGAGGAUCGAAAGACCUGACGCUAGUGGAGCGUGCGAUAUCAGAUUAGGUAGUUGGUGUGGUAAGGGCUCACCAAGACGACGAUCUGUAGCUGGUCUGAGAGGACGACCAGCCACACUGGGACUGAGACACGGCCCAGACUCCUACGGGAGGCAGCAGUGGGGAAUUUUGGACAAUGGGCGCAAGCCUGAUCCAGCCAUGCCGCGUGCAGGAAGAAGGCCUUCGGGUUGUAAACCGCUUUUGUCGGGGAAGAAAAGGUUCUGGCUAAUACCUGGGCCUCAUGACGUUACCUGAAGAAUAAGCACCGGCUAACUCCGUG
rnacentral:rRNA from 1 species